rnacentral:lncRNA from 1 species
GGUUUUUGGGGAGCUUCAAGAAGGGAUUUUCAUCAUCAAGGUGAAGGUAAGUUAUCCCCACCUAUUUUGAGUUAAGUACAUCAAUUAUGUAUGGAUUUGAGCAUGAAAAUUGUAGAAAAAUUGAGGAUUUAGGCCUAGGGAUUUGAAAAUAAGAUUUGGUGAUUUGAGGGGUCAAAUGAACUCCGAUUUUGGUAAAGUUUAUAUGUACAGACUCGUGGCGAAACGAGGAAUCCGGUGAUGUGACUUUCGUAAUUUUUCGAGAAGCGGGUCCGGGGCUCGGGUUUUGCAAAUUUCAUGAUUUUCGAUAUUUUUCGAGUCUUUUCGAUUGGGUUAUAUUCCCUUAGCCUAUUGUAAUAUAUUCCUUGUGGUUUUGGCAAGAUUCGACGCGCGAGGAGGUCGAUUCGAAAGGAAAGGGCAUCGCGGAGUAGACUUUUGGCCAUCUUGAGGUGAGUAAUAGAUGUAAAUGCUGUUCUGAGGGUUUGAAACCACGGAUUUUCAAAUCGUAACGCUAUAUUGAGGCGUGAAACGCACUCCAUGGCGAGUGCGGGGUCGAAUACUAUUGGAGAUUGUGACUUGGUCCAUCCCGUGUGAUGUUUAUACUAUAUUGGUGAUUGAUACACAUACUUCAUUGAUAUUACUGGGCUUGAUGCCAUGUUUGGGGCCUUGUGCCGAUUUGUAAAAUCCUUCGAGGAUUGAUAUUACUGCUUAGCAUGAUUUGCAUAUCAUUUAAUUUCAGUCUAAGGUUUUAAAUGUUGUUUUGCAAACUCAGCCAUAAUUCUAAGUGUUGAAAACUUAAAUGAUAUUUUUAAAUGUAUUCCGGG